rnacentral:rRNA from 1 species
UACGUAGGGGGCGAGCGUUGUCCGGAUUUAUUGGGCGUAAAGGGCACGCAGGCGGUCUGCCGCAUUCGCGGUGACAGUUUUCGGCUUCCCUGAGAAAGGGUCGCGACGAUGGGCAGACUUGAGGACCAGAGAGGAAACGGGAACUCCGGGUGGAGUGGUGAAAUGCGUAGAUAUCCGGAAGAACACCCAUGGCGAAGGCACGUUUCUGGCUGGUUCCUGACGCUGAGGUGCGAAAGCUAGGGGAGCGAACGGG